CUUGCCUAACUUUGAUACAUAAUAUCCUAAUACUUGUUAAAAUAUCCUCCAUUUUGUAUCAAAACUCAAAAUUAAAUACAAAGAUUCUGAAAGUGCUCUAAUGUUAUUGAAAUAUGCGUUUUCAAUCUUAAUGAUUUAAGAUGAGCUAUAAUGUGGAAGAUACAUAUCUCAAAUUAUGAUUUUGAAAGCCUCAAUUGAAAAUCCUAUGUAAUUCAGAAUCUGAUUUUGUAUA
rnacentral:lncRNA from 1 species